AAGGUAUUUGGAAGACUGAAGAAAAUAUAUUGUUUUGCACUGCUUUUCAGGGAUGUCUUUGAAGCAAGUGCUUCCCUCCAAGCAAGGGGGAGUUCUUGAUAAGGAGAACAGCGGGAUCAGCGAUCGUGGAGGAAGGCGGCGGUGCCCUGCAUCUUCCAUCCUGUGCCCGCCUCUUCCGGGGUCGCUCCCGGUGCACCACGACGGCCCAGACUGCUUCUGGCUCUAGCUUGGCCUUGACCUGCCGGCCCCAACUGCGUUUGGAAGCAGAGCUGCAGACUCUGCUAGGCUCUAGGGGUACAGCAUGGAACCACCCAGACAGGACACACCCUGAAGGAGCUGAGACCCAAC